AUGCUGACUCGCGCCAAGCGCGGUCUCUUCCAACCCAUCGAUCGCAUGAACCUCCUGGUUUCCGACUCCUCCGUCUCUCCACUUCCCAAAACAUACCGGGGUGCUCUAAACGACCCACACUGGCGUCGUGCCAUGCAUGAUGAGUUUGAGGCGCUUGUCACUAACCGGACGUGGUCACUUGUUCCACGCCCACCUCGUGCUCAUGUUGUUUCAGGGAAAUGGAUAUUCAAGCAUAAAUUUCAUUCGGAUGGACGGCUGGCUCGGUAUAAGGCUCGGUGGGUGGUCCGUGGCUACUCCCAACAGCCGGGCAUCGACUUCGACGAGACGUUCAGCCCGGUUGUCAAACCGGCCACCAUCCGCAUCGUCCUCACCAUUGCGGUCUCCCGUGCGUGGCCGAUUCAUCAACUUGAUGUCAAGAACGCCUUCCUCAAUGGCAAUCUUGACGAGGAGGUUUACUGCCAGCAGCCGCCUGGUUUUGUUGACGCCAGUCGCCCCGACUUCGUGUGCUGCCUUCACAAGUCGCUCUAUGGGCUCAAACAGGCGCUGUCGUGGUUCUAA
rnacentral:rRNA from 1 species